GGAGAGACUGUGGCUGACAGAAAUGGCCAUCCUUCCCCUGGAGACUUGCUUUUGGCUGCACAUGAAGGCAGAAGUUUUGGCUUCUCAGAACUUAGGAAUAUUAAGGUCCUGCAAGUAGAUCACCCCAGAUUUCAACACUGCUGAAAUCCAUUGUCUAAAGGGAGUCUAAAAACCGUUUGUUGGACAACUGGGAGACUAUUGCAUGAAAUCUGCACUGGCCGGUGCACUGCGUCCU